CCCCGGCGUGAAUUGCGCCAAGGAACCAUAUAACGAAGAAGAGCACGUCGGCAGUUGCCGCCCCGUUCGCGGUGUGCGCGCGGACCGCCUCGUGACUCCUUUCUUGCGAAAAUUUAAAACGACUCUCGGCAACGGAUAUCUCGGCUCUCGCAUCGAUGAAGAAUGUAGCGAAAUGCGAUACUUGGUGUGAAUUGCAGAAUCCCGUGAACCAUCGAGUCUUUGAACGCAAGUUGCGCCCCAAGCCAUUAGGCCGAGGGCACGCCUGCCUGGGUGUCACGCAUCGUCGCCCCCUCCACCCCUUAGCCCAACAAAAGGCUAAGGGCGUUGCUGGGACGGAAAAUGGCCUCCCGUAGGCUCCCAGCUUGCGGUUGGCCCAAACGCGGGUCCUCGGCAACGAAUGGCGCCGUGACGAUCGGUGGUAAUGCUCCUAGCGUGCCUUGUCUCCAGUCGCGCGCGCCCGUUGUCCGUGCGGACCCCCUCGGACCCUUUUGUGCAUCGCUCGAACGAUGCUCGCAUCGCGACCCCAGGUCAGGCGGGAUUACCCGCUGAG
rnacentral:rRNA from 1 species